rnacentral:rRNA from 1 species
UGAAUACGAGAUGCUACGGCGUCGAAGCAGUCUAUGUCAUACUUCCAAGAAAAGCUCGCACUGUCAUAAACAAAUAAUGCCUGUACCAUAACCGACACAGGUGGGUAGGUAGAGUAUACUAAGGGGCGCGAGAUAACUCUCUCUAAGGAACUCGGCAAAAUGACUCCGUAACUUCGGGAGAAGGAGUGCCUUAUUUAUAAGGUUGCAAUAACAAGAUCCAAGCAACUGUUUAUCAAAAACACAGGUCUCCGCUAAGUCGUAAGACGAUGUAUGGGGGCUGACGCCUGCCCAGUGCCAGAAGGUUAAAGAAGUUGGUUAGCAUUCGCGAAGCUGAUAACUGAAGCCCUGGUGAACGGCGGCCGUAACAAUAACGGUCCUAAGGUAGCGAGAUUCCUUGUCGGGUAAGUUCCGACCCGCACGAAAGGCGUAAUGAUUUGGAUACUGUCUCGGAGAGGGGCUCGGUGAAAUAGACUUGUCUGUGAAGAUGCGGACUACCUGCACCAGGACAGAAAGACCCUAUGAAGCUUUACUGUAACUUGAGAUUGAAAUUGGACUUUACUUGCGCAGUAUAGGUGGGAGGCGUUGAUAAUAUUCUUGCGGGAUUAUUUGAGCCAUCAGUGAGAUACCACUCUUGUAAUGUUAGAUUUCUAACUUUGUAUCAUUAUCUGGUCAAAGGACAGUUUCAGGCGGGCAGUUUGACUGGGGCGGUCGCCUCCUAAACGGUAACGGAGGCGCACAAAGGUUUCCUCUGAACGGGUAGAAAUCGUAUCUAGAGUGUAAAGGCAUAAGGAAGCUUGACUGUGAGACCUACAAGUCGAGCAGGGACGAAAGUCGGUCUUAGUGAUCUGACGGUGCUGAGUGGAAAGGCCGUCACUCAACGGAUAAAAGUUACUCUAGGAUAACAGGCUGAUCUCCCCCAAGAGUUCACAUCGACGGGGAGGUUUGGCACCUCGAUGUCGGCUCAUCGCAUCCUGGGGCGGUAGUACGUCCCAAGGGUUGGGCUGUUCGCCCAUGAAAGCGGUACGCGAGCUGGGUUCAGAACGUCGUGAGACAGUUCGGUCCAUAUCCGGUGUAGGCGUUAGAAUAUUGAGAGGAGCCUUCUUUAGUACGAGAGGACCGAGAAGGACAUACCUCUGGUGUACCAGUUAUCGUGCCAACGGUAAACGCUGGGUAGCUAUGUAUGGAGUGGAUAACCGCUGAAAGCAUCUAAGUGGGAAGCCCACCUCAAGAUAAGUAUUCUCAC